UGGGGAAUAUUGGACAAUGGGGGCAACCCUGAUCCAGCCAUGCCGCGUGUGUGAAGAAGGCCUUUUGGUUGUAAAGCACUUUAAGCAGUGAAGAAGACUCCAUGGUUAAUACCCAUGGACGAUGACAUUAGCUGCAGAAUAAGCACCGGCUAACUCUGUGCCAGCAGCCGCGGUAAUACAGAGGGUGCGAGCGUUAAUCGGAAUUACUGGGCGUAAAGCGAGCGUAGGUGGCGUGAUAAGUCAGAUGUGAAAGCCCCGGGCUUAACCUGGGAACGGCAUCUGAUACUGUUAGGCUAGAGUAGGUGAGAGGAAGGUAGAAUUCCAGGUGUAGCGGUGAAAUGCGUAGAGAUCUGGAGGAAUACCGAUGGCGAAGGCAGCCUUCUGGCAUCAUACUGACACUGAGGUUCGAAAGCGUGGGUAGCAAACA
rnacentral:rRNA from 1 species